rnacentral:rRNA from 1 species
AUGCCUACGGGACGCAGCAGUGGGGAAUAUUGCACAAUGGGGGGAACCCUGAUGCAGCGACGCCGCGUGAAGGAAGAAGUAUUUCGGUAUGUAAACUUCUAUCAGCAGGGAAGAAAAUGACGGUACCUGACUAAGAAGCCCCGGCUAACUACGUGCCAGCAGCCGCGGUAAUACGUAGGGGGCAAGCGUUAUCCGGAUUUACUGGGUGUAAAGGGAGCGUAGACGGAGGAGCAAGUCUGAUGUGAAAAUCCGGGGCCCAACCCCGGAACUGCAUUGGAAACUGUUUAUCUAGAGUGUCGGAGAGG